AUUGAGGUGGCAGAAUAGUAUGCGUUAAAUUUAAGCUUUAAAGAUGAAAAAUUUUCCCUUGAUA
rnacentral:tRNA from 1 species